GGAGACGUUCUCUUUUUCACCCUAAUCAAGGUUUUGUGGGUUGGGUUUGGCAUCCAAAAAAUUAGAUCGAGUUUGGAGCGGAAUGGGUGAAUAAAAAGUAUGGAUCUGACUGUUAAAUAAUGAAAUGUGCAACCGGUUGCCUUUAUAAAAUUAUGAUGAUUUAUUAUUAUUAAAACAGACAGUUAUCAGCUAACAGUAAUAGGUUAAUCCAAACAGCCCUUAAUAUUCUUAGCAAACCGCUGCGUUUUGCUUGGACCUGCCUUUCUUGCUCUCUGUUACUGUUCUUUCAGCGUGUGCAAAAUGCUUCUUCCAGUUCCACUCCACCGCUGAAUUACUCAACAGGCACUGCACCGAGGCAUAUUCCUUCCUAAGAAAUGAAUAGUAGGCUUUUCAAGGGACAGCCUUUCCGUUUGAAUCAAACAUAUUUUUUCUCAUAUGAAAGAACCGUAACCCUAGGUCCACAUACCCUCCUCGAUCCUCUCUACUCUGACAUUCCCAAACCCCGUAGAGACAAAUCCCAGCGAAAGCCGUUGCCGACUCCCAUGAAACUUCUCAUUCAAAGAGCUAAACAGGAGAAAGAAGCUAGAAGGGCUCAACCUUGUAGGAUGCUUGAGCAUCCACCUGAUAAUGGACUAUUGGUCCCCGAACUUGUCGAGGUGGCUCACCAAGUUUAUCGAGCUCGACAAUCUCUUCUCUCUGGCUUGGCUAAGCUUGUUAAAGUCAUUCCGGUUCAACGCUGCAGGUGCAGAUUGAGCAUGGCUUUCAUUUUUGGUUUCUGUUUUUGUAGGAUUAUGUGAAAUUGGGCAUUUGUUUGUGCAUAUUUUAUGACAAAAAUGUUUUAGCUGUUCAAUUGCAAGUGUAUUCAAAGAUUCCUUGAUGAUCCUUUGAUAACAAAUUUGGGCAUGAUGAAUUUCUAAUAGUUCAUUGGUUUUGCUUAUUUCAAUUAGUGUUUCUGCUUAGGUUUUGCAAUGAGGUUCAUAUUGGUCAUGUGGGUCAUGAAAUUAGAACCUGCGUUGGUCCAGGCAG
rnacentral:misc_RNA from 1 species